rnacentral:tRNA from 1 species
CAGGUUAUCUUUAGAAGAUUUAUUAUUUACAUUAAUAAUUUGGAUGUGCAAUUCAUUAUAACUUGA